UUUUUUACAUUUACCACAAGUUUCUGUUGUUUUUUCUUCUUUUCGUACGCACUCCAUUCAACCCUAAGUCCACAUUUUUCUCCAUCCUCUGCCACCGUGACUGCGUCUUUCUUCACCGCCGCCGCCGCCUGAAGCUCUGCUCUGUUCAACUGGAGUUACAAUUCAGGUUUCCUCUCUCAACAUUGUGCUUCAUUUCUAACUUGAUUUUUCGAUGUUAUGAAAAGAAAAAUCAUAUUUUUACUUGUCAAUGUAGAGUUAAUAGUGUGAUUUGUGUUUGGAAGUUGAUUUAGGGUUUAAUCAAUGAGUUCCUGGAUUUGUCAAUUGCAUAGAAUUUUUCAAUUAAGAACUUAAAGCAAUUAAAAAAAUGGUGGAAAGAAGCUGUGAUAUUUUUCUGUAUCUCCUCAUCCCAAUACCUCAUUGUCUCAUUCAUUCUCAGUAUCUCUCUUCUCUCUUCGCGUCAUUCGUCUUCAGCCUCAGAGUGGUGGCGUGGGUCUCAGCGAGUCAGCAUCCUCGUCAGCGCUGUGGUGCUCUACUUUCAGAGUUUCAAUGGAGCCUCAGACUUAGGGGCAAAUGAUGAUGAUGAGGCGGAGCAGAACCAUCCAUUGCAUCAAUCAAAGAAGAUUUUAAAUUCCUUUGUUUAAGUUUCUUUAAAGUUAUGCCUGGUCCGUUUGAGAUGUAACAGAAUAAUUUUGAACUGGCCUGACUCAAUCUUGUGUUUGAUUUAUAUAAUAAACAUAUUCUUAAUAAUUUUUUGUAGUUCAAAAUUUGUUAGCAAAGUUAGCAGUGUACCAAAAUGUGUAAUUUGGAACUAGAUUAUUCCUAUGGAUUUCUUUCCAUAGUAGUCGGAUCUCUGACAGGGUAGAAUAUUUAUAGGACAGGAUAGAAACUCUGACAUUUGAGAUGCAGCACCAUUACAGCGGUCCUCUGUUAGAAGAGCCACUUGAAUCAUUCAGUGGGAAGCUAUCUCUUGACAAAUACAUGCCUGCAAGAAGGACAUUAUUGGUUGAAGGACUUCAUGUGAAGAUGACAUUUAAAAAGGGGCCGAUACUUGAUGAUCAAAAUUGAAAAAUGCUUUUUACUGGUUAUGCUAAAUAUGUUUAUUUUCUCUCCUAUUUUGUAGUUUUGCAUUUUUCUAGCUAUCUUUCUACAGUGAGAUCUAAUUUUACAUUUGUGUAUAAUAGCAGGCUGAAAGUAGAAUCGGUAAAAAAUAUAGAAGCUUUUGAAAUUCUUCUCAGUAGCUACAUCGCACACUAAUGGCAAGAACAUAACUUUUUGUUGCUAGAGUUUAUAUUUUGGCAUGUUGAACAUACUUUGUGAGGCAAGAAAAGAUCCUUUAUUGGUUGGUAUAGCAUAAGCCCAUCACUAGCUGGAAUCAUUCAGAAGGCUAUAGAAUAAUGUGGAUGCAUGGCUAUGAUGUUUGAAUUUUUUUUAAUCUUAUGAUGGUUUCUAUUUGAAUGCAGGUAAGCAUUGGAUGUGAAUGUUGAGAGAGCCAUGGAUGUUCUUAUGCACAAGAGAUUGCUGUAUUUGGCUGACGAUCCUGUUAAUAGGCCUGCAAUUGAAUUCAUGCUUUAGUGGUGUUAUUUAGUUUAGAGUAAGGCAUUGCCUAUGAAACAGUUUGGCAUAUAGUCAUUGUUUGAUCAUGCUGUCUUCUUUUAUAAGAUUUGAUGCUGGUAUAGUUUGGAUGAAGUAUGAUGUAUCAUUGAUAUUUUCUUUUCCGAAUUGCUUUUAAGUAGUUUUUUAUACAUUAAGUUGUUACCGUUGAAUGAAUAAUCUAUUUUAGACUUUUAGUUAAUCA